CAGUAGCCACGGUAAUACAGAGGGUGCGAGCGUUAAUCGGAUUUACUGGGCGUAAAGCGUGCGUAGGCGGCUAAUUGAGUCGGAUGUGAAAUCCCCGAGCUUAACUUGGGAAUUGCAUUCGAUACUGGUUAGCUAGAGUGUGGGAGAGGAUGGUAGAAUUCCAGGUGUAGCGGUGAAAUGCGUAGAGAUCUGGAGGAAUACCGAUGGCGAAGGCAGCCAUCUGGCCUAACACUGACGCUGAGGUACGAAAGCAUGGGGAGCAAACAGGAUUAGAUACCCCUGUAGUCCCUGUCUCUUAUAA
rnacentral:rRNA from 1 species